AGUGAACGCUGGCGGCAGGCCUAACACAUGCAAGUCGAGCGGCAGCGCGGGGGCAACCCUGGCGGCGAGCGGCGGACGGGUGAGGAAUGCAUCGGAAUCUACCUCGUUGUGGGGGAUAACCUCGGGAAACCGGGACUAAUACCGCAUACGACCUACGGGUGAAAGUGGGGGACCUUCGGGCCUCACGCGAUGAGAUGAGCCGAUGCCGGAUUAGCUAGUUGGCGGGGUAAAGGCCCACCAAGGCGACGAUCCGUAGCUGGUCUGAGAGGAUGAUCAGCCACACUGGAACUGAGACACGGUCCAGACUCCUACGGGAGGCAGCAGUGGGGAAUAUUGGACAAUGGGCGCAAGCCUGAUCCAGCCAUGCCGCGUGUGUGAAGAAGGCCUCGGUGUAAGCACUUUGUUGGGUAGAAACGACA
rnacentral:rRNA from 1 species